rnacentral:rRNA from 1 species
UACGUAGGGGGCAAGCGUUGUCCGGAUUUAUUGGGCGUAAAGAGCUCGUAGGCGGUUCCGUAAGUCGAGUGUGAAAAAUCUGGGCUCAACCCAGUGGAGCACUCGAUACUGUCGGGCUCGAGUACGGAAGAGGCGAGUGGAAUUCCUGGUGUAGCGGUGAAAUGCGCAGAUAUCAGGAGGAACACCAAUUGCGAAGGCAGCUCGCUGGGACGUAACUGACGCUGAGACGCGAAAGCGUGGGGAGCAAACAGG